rnacentral:rRNA from 1 species
CCUACGGGAGGCAGCACUAGGGAAUCUUCCACAAUGGGCGAAAGCCUGAUGGAGCAACGCCGCGUGGGUGAAGAAGGUCUUCGGAUCGUAAAACCCUGUUGUUAGAGAAGAAAGUGCGUGAGAGUAACUGUUCACGUUUCGACGGUAUCUAACCAGAAAGCCACGGCUAACUACGUGCCAGCAGCCGCGGUAAUACGUAGGUGGCAAGCGUUAUCCGUAUUUAUUGGGCGUAAAGGGAACGCAGGCGGUCUUUUAAGUCUGAUGUGAAAGCCUUCGGCUUAACCGGAGUAGUGCAUUGGAAACUGGGAGACGUGAGUGCAGAAGAGGAGAGUGGAACUCCAUGUGUAGCGGUGAAAUGCGUAGAUAUAUGGAAGAACACCAGUGGCGAAAGCGGCUCUCUGGUCUGUAACUGACGCUGAGGUUCGAAAGCGUGGGUAGCAAACAGGAUUAGAUACCCUUGUAGUC